GAGAAAACACUGUUCUUUCUUCCUGUUUAUUCUCGUGAAACAUUUUUUUCCUGUGACAGCAACAAGCUAUUGCUACAAUGGAACAGAUUACUUCAGAUGCGAGUUUUACCAAAGGUGUUGUGUCAACAACACCAGUUGCUGUGUGAAGGUCGGGACGGUGGCGUGGUGCGUGGGCGGCGUGACGGCGCUACUGGUGGUGCUGACGGUGUGGUGCCGGCGGCAGCACCAGGCGGCGCUGCAGGGGCAGCUGAAGCGCGCGCAGCCCGCCAUCCAGCGCCACGAGCGCUGCUGCCCGCUGCGCGCCAAGGACCCCUCCAUAGACGCCGAAUGCUGCUGCCGCCGGCGGAGGG